rnacentral:rRNA from 1 species
GUGGGGAAUAUUGCACAAUGGGGGAAACCCUGAUGCAGCGACGCCGCGUGGAGGAUGACGGCCUUCGGGUUGUAAACUCCUUUUGUCAGGGACAAUGGUGAUGGUACCUGACGAAUAAGCCACGGCUAACUCUGUGCCAGCAGCCGCGGUAAGACAGAGGUGGCGAGCGUUGUUCGGAAUUACUGGGCUUAAAGGGCGCGUAGGCGGUGGUGUAAGUCUGGGGUGGAAUGCUACAGCUCAACUGUAGAGCUGCCUUGGAAACUGCAUUACUUGAGUCGGUGAGGGGAAGGCGGAAUUCCUGGUGUAGCGGUGAAAUGCGUAGAUAUCAGGAGGAAGGUCUGUGGCGAAGGCGGCCUUCUGGCACUUGACUGACGCUGAGGCGCGAAAGCGUGGGGAGCAAACAGGAUUAGAAACCCUUGUAGUCC